UACGGAGGGUGCGAGCGUUGCUCGGAAUUAUUGGGCGUAAAGCGUACGCAGGCGGCUCGGCAAGUCGGGUGUGAAAUCCCGGGGCUCAACUCCGGAACUGCAUUCGAUACUGCCGGGCUUGAGUGCGGGAGAGGGAAGCGGAAUUCCUGGUGUAGAGGUGAAAUUCGUAGAUAUCAGGAGGAACACCGGUGGCGAAAGCGGCUUCCUGGACCGACACUGACGCUCAUGUACGAAAGCGUGGGGAGCAAACAGG
rnacentral:rRNA from 1 species